rnacentral:rRNA from 1 species
CCUACGGGAGGCAGCAGUGAGGAAUAUUGGUCAAUGGGCGGGAGCCUGAACCAGCCAAGCCGCGUGAGGGAAGAAGGUACAGCGUAUCGUAAACCUCUUUUGUCAGGGAACAAAGGCGGGGACUAGUCCCCGGAUGAGGGUACCUGAAGAAAAAACAUCGGCUAACUCCGUGCCAGCAGCCGCGGUAAUACGGAGGAUGCGAGCGUUAUCCGUAUUGAUUGGGGUUAAGGGGUGCGCAGGCGGCCUGUUAAGUAAGCGGUAAAAGCCCGGGGCUCAACCCCGGCGAGCCGUUGAAACUGGCGGGCUGGAGUUGGAGAGAAGUACGCGGAAUGCGCGGUGUAGCGGUGAAAUGCUUAGAUAUCGCGCAGAACCCCGAUUGCGAAGGCAGCGUACCGGCUCCACACUGACGCUGAGGCACGAAAGCGUGGGUAUCGAACAGGAUUAGAUACCCUGGUAGUC